rnacentral:ncRNA from 1 species
GUAAUUCUCCGAGCGUCUGGGUCUAAGGUCGGCAGGAAAAGGCUAGGACAAGACGCCGACAGGGUUUGUUGGGAAACCGGCAGGCCUCCCGUGUUUGGAAAGGAGAAAC